AAAUUUAUAAUCUGGCACCUUCGGUGUCCGAGUUGUAAUCUCUAGAAAUGUUUUCCGCGUUGGACCGCACACAAGUCUGUUGGAAUACAGCGGCAUAGUGGUGAGACCCCCGUAUAUGGUGCGGACGCCCAGCGCUUUGUGAUACAUUUUCGAAGAGUCGAGUUGUUUGGGAAUGCAGCUCAAAUUGGGUGGUAAAUUCCAUCUAAAGCUAAAUAUUGGCGAGAGACCGAUAGCGAACAAGUACCGUGAGGGAAAGAUGAAAAGCACUUUGGAAAGAGAGUUAACAGUACGUGAAAUUGUUGGAAGGGAAACGCUUGAAGUCAGACUUGCUUGCCGAGCAAUCGGUUUGCAGGCCAGCAUCAGUUUUCCGGGAUGGAUAAUGGUAGAGAGAAGGUAGCAGUUUCGGCUGUGUUAUAGCUCUCUGCUGGAUACAUCUUGGGGGACUGAGGAACGCAGUGUGCCUUUGGCGGGGGUUUCGACCUCUUCACACUUAGGAUGCUGGUGGAAUGGCUUUAAACGAC
rnacentral:rRNA from 1 species